rnacentral:rRNA from 1 species
CUCCCUCUUUCUUCUUGCCUCAUACAUGCCCGUAGACCGCUGAAGAGAGGAGCUUGCUCUUCUUGGAUGAGUUGCGAACGGGUGAGUAACGCGUAGGUAACCUGCCUUGUAGCGGGGGAUAACUAUUGGAAACGAUAGCUAAUGCCGCAUAACAAUGGAUGACACAUGUCAUUUAUUUGAAAGGGGCAAUUGUUCCACUACAAGAUGGACCUGCGUUGUAUUAGCUAGUAGGUGAGGUAAUGGCUCACCUAGGCGACGAUACAUAGCCGACCUGAGAGGGUGAUCGGCCACACUGGGACUGAGACACGGCCCAGACGCCUACGGGAGGCAGCAGUAGGGAAGCUUCGGCAAUGGGGGCAACCCUGACCGAGCAACGCCGCGUGAGUGAAGAAGGGUUUCGGAUCGUAAAGCUCGGUUGUAAGUCAAGAACGGGUGUGAGAGUGGAAAGUUCACACUGUGACGGUAGCUUACCAGAAAGGGACGGCUAACUACGUG